ensembl:lncRNA
GAGGGACCGGAUCCCGCACGGAUCGAGUCGGAAUUCCAUGUGGGAUCGAGUCGGAAUUCCAUGUGGGAAUGUGUUGGAAUUCCAUGUGGGAAUGUGUUGCAAUUCCAUGUGGGAACGCCGGGAUCCUGUGCGGGAAUGUUGGGAUCAGUGUGGGAAUUCUGGGAUCCAACAUGAGAAUUCUGGGAUCCCACAUGGGAAUGUCGGGAUCCGACGCGGGAAUGCCCAAAUUCCAUAUGGGAAUGUCAGGAUUCGAGUGGGAAGCCCCAAAUUCCGUGUGGGAAUUCUGGAAUCCUGUGUGGGAAUGUUGGGAUCCAACAUAAGAAUUCUGGGAUCCCGUGUGGGAAUGCCGAGAUCCCAUGUGGGAAGCCCCAAAUUCCGUGUGGGAAUGUCGGGAUCCCGUGUCAGAAUGUCAGGAUUUGUGUGGGAAUGCCCAAAUUCCAUAUGGGAAUGUCAGGAUCUGUGUGGGAAUGCCCAAAUUCCAUGUGGGAAUGCCGAAAUUCCGUGCGGGAGCGGCCGUGUGCUCCCCACCUCCAGAUCUCCAUAAAACAUCGGAUCCGCCGCUUCCCGACUUUUCCGUCAUCCCGGAGGGGUUUGGGAAUCAACGGAGGGAUCCGACCCCGGGAACGGGGAUUGGGGCGGGAAUUGGGAGUUGGGAAUGGGAAUUGGGAUCCGGAGUUGGGAAUUGGGAUCUGGGAAUGGGAAUUGGGAAUUGGGAAUGGGAAUUGGGAUCUGGGAACGGGAAUUGGGAUCCAGAGUUGGGAAUUGGGAUCCGGGAACGGGAAUUGGGAUCUGGGAAAGGGAAUUGGGAUCCGGAGUUGGGAAUUGGGAUCCGGAGUUGGGAAUUGGGAUCCAGAGUUGGGAAUUGGGAUCCGGAGUCGGGAAUUGGGAUCUGGGAAUGGGAAUUGGGAAUGGGAAUGGGAAUUGGGAUCCGGAGUUGGGAAUUGGGAUCCAGAGUUGGGAAUUGGGAUCCAGAGUUGGGAAUUGGGAAUGGGAAUGGGAAUUGGGAUCUGGGAACAGGAAUUGGGAAUUGGGAACAGGAAUUGGGAUCUGGGAAUGGGAAUUGGGAUCUGGGAACGGGAAUUGGGAUCCGGAGUUGGGAAUUGGGAUCCGGAGUUGGGAAUUGGGAUCCGGCCCCGGGAAUUGGGAUCCGGAGUCGGGAAUUGGGGAAUGGGGAUGGGAAUUGGGAUCCAGAGUUGGGAAUUGGGAUCCGGGAAAGGGAAUUGGGAUCCGGAGUUGGGAAUUGGGAUCCGGGAAUGGAAAUUGGGAUCCGGAGUUGGGAAUUGGGAUCCAGAGUUGGGAAUUGGGGUCUGGGAAUGGGAAUUGGGAUCUGGGAAUGGGAAUUGGGAUCCGGAGUUGGGAAUUGGGAUCCGGGAAUGGAAAUUGGGAUCCGGAGUUGGGAAUUGGGAUCCAGAGUUGGGAAUUGGGGUCUGGGAAUGGGAAUUGGGAUCUGGGAAUGGGAAUUGGGAUCCGGAGUUGGGAAUUGGGAUCUGGGAAUGGGAAUUGGGAUCCGGAGUUGGGAAUUGGGAAUGGGAAUUGGGAGCUGGGAAUGGG